rnacentral:rRNA from 1 species
CUGCGAAGGGGGGACGGAGAAGGCUAUGUUGGCCGGGCGACGGUUGUCCCGGUUUAAGCGUGUAGGCUGGUUUUCCAGGCAAAUCCGGAAAAUCAAGGCUGAGGCGUGAUGACGAGGCACUACGGUGCUGAAGCAACAAAUGCCCUGCUUCCAGGAAAAGCCUCUAAGCAUCAGGUAACAUCAAAUCGUACCCCAAACCGACACAGGUGGUCAGGUAGAGAAUACCAAGGCGCUUGAGAGAACUCGGGUGAAGGAACUAGGCAAAAUGGUGCCGUAACUUCGGGAGAAGGCACGCUGAUAUGUAGGUGAAGUCCCUCGCGGAUGGAGCUGAAAUCAGUCGAAGAUACCAGCUGGCUGCAACUGUUUAUUAAAAACACAGCACUGUGCAAACACGAAAGUGGACGUAUACGGUGUGACGCCUGCCCGGUGC